AAACUAUGAAAUGUGGAAAGACACCACGGAGGACGACGAAGCGAAAGCCAAAGCCAUGGACGAAGCCGGAAAUGAAAUGCGCGCGUUAGAGAACCGCA
rnacentral:rRNA from 1 species